rnacentral:rRNA from 1 species
UACGUAGGGGGCAAGCGUUGUCCGGAUUUAUUGGGCGUAAAGAGCGUGUAGGCGGCUAGGUAGGUCCGUUGUGAAAACUCGAGGCUCAACCUCGAGACGCCGAUGGAAACCAUCUGGCUAGAGUCCGGAAGAGGAGAGUGGAAUUCCUGGUGUAGCGGUGAAAUUCGUAGAUAUUGGGAAGAACACCGAUGGCGAAGGCAGCCAUCUGGACCGACACUGACGCUGAGGCGCGAAAGCGUGGGGAGCAAACAGG